AUACGGAAGGUCCGGGCGUUAUCCGGAUUUAUUGGGUUUAAAGGGAGCGCAGGCGGAGAUGCAAGCGUGUCGUCAAAUUUCGGGGCUCAACCCCGUCUCGCGUCGCGAACUGCGUCCCUUGGUUGCGGGAAGGGGAGGCGGAACUCGUGGUGUAGCGGUGAAAUGCAUAGAUAUUCCACAGAACACCGAUUGCGAAGGCAGCUGACGAAUCCCCGAUUGACGCUGAUGCACGAAAGUGCGGGUAUCGAACAGGAUUAGAUACCCUGGUAGUCCGCACAGUAAACGAUGAUAACUAGUUGUUGGCGAUAAACAGAUCAGUAACUGAGCGAAAGCGUUAAGUUAUCCACCUGGGGAGUACGACCGCAAGGUUGAAACUCAAAUGAAUUGGCGGGG
rnacentral:rRNA from 1 species